UGCAUGCGUAGUUGGAGGUGUUGGUGUAGAAAGAUUCUAUGACAGAACACAAAGUCAUGUCGAGUACUUACUGAGUUACUGGUGUUUAUGCUGUGUUGUGUUUUGUUGGCUUAAAUCAGCGAUCACCAGUCUCUGUUCUUGUUCUCAUAUGAACAAGCAAGAAGAUAACUGUUUCUUGAAUCGACUUGCUUCAGAUACAAUUCAAAUCAGUGAGAUUAUAUAUCUGAUGAAGUGAGUGAUUAUAUCUGAUUCAUUUCUUGUAUUGCCAGGCGUGAGAGUUAGAAGAAAAUAAUGGGUUCAGAAAUCAGACAGAACAGAGCACGUCUAAUGAAUUUUUCUUUUUUGGAGAAUUGCAGACAAAGCAAAGUAAAAUUUCUGUGAUUGAUGUGAUCAUAUAUCUCCCUCAUCCCUCCCACUCUGUUUUCUUGGUAAUUAUUCAUCUCCAAGCUCUCCAUACAGGUUUUUCUUAUCAUGUUUCCAAAUCACAACAUGUUUUUUUGCCUUUCAAAUGACCAAUUUCUUUCUUUUUUAGAUGGAGGGAUUGACAGAUUAUUAAAGACUUUUAAGUGGAUUAGAGUUUGAAUUUCAAAGAAUAUAUGCAAAUACUUUUCUCUCUUGUGUCUGAAAAGUGAUGGCCAGCUAGAGCCCGCACUGCGCAAAAGAGAAUGCAAUUGGAAUUAUCUCUGGUUUCAGUGCUACACAGGUUGUGGAAAAAAUGGAAGGUCUUUUUUAGCACUCAAAGAGUCUAAGGUUUCAAGUCCUAAAUUUCAUGGAAGUCUUUCCACAAAUAUUAGAGACUUUAGAAUCUGUUAUUGUCUCACUAAAUCUGAACCAAAUUAAAGGUAGAAUUGCUUUAAUCACGCAGUUGGAAGUUUCAUAUGAUGAAAAAAAAUCAACAUCUGUCCAGAUUUUUCUUCAUAUAAACAACCUUGACAUCAAAUAGAUGAUAAAAGUUAGGAAAAAUGCUGUUUCAGCCCAUGAUUUAUGCUCUUGGAACUAUUAACUUGCUUAAGAGCC
rnacentral:lncRNA from 1 species